AUUCUGGUAAAUAAAUAAUUUGGAAUUUCCUCUCGUGUUAAUAAAAAUACCUGAAAAAAUAUGUGAUUUAGUUCAAAGGUCUAUGUUAGUUUUUUUAAAGCGUGUUACAUCUAUAAGGAAGGAAAAUAAAACAAUAUUUUGUAACAUCACUUAUUAUUUUGUACAGUGCAAGUACAAACUGGGUUGUAUAAUAGUUUAAAAAAGAUGUCUAAAUAUUAGAAAACUAAACUAAAAAUUAUAACUAAUACUUAAUAAUAUAAAUAAUAAAAUUAGGCUUGUUUCACUUAAUAAUAUUUAAAAUUAUUACAAUGUAGAAAUUACAUUCACAAUUAUUAUAUUAAAAAAAAUAUACAAAAAUACAUAAAAACACUGAACACAUUCUACCUUUAACUUUCUAAAAUCUAAGGAUUUAUCUAUAUCAGAUUUCUUUUUUAUGUAUAACAAGUACAAAUUUGACUAAAUUUUAAUUAUCUAUUGUAAUACAAAACGAAAUUGGAUUUUUUAACAAACUAAGAAACUUAGUUUUCCGACAAUACACAAUAUCAAUUUAGAAACUGUUUGCACAUGUUUGACACAUUUGACAAGUUUAUUAAACGUACGUUCCGUUUUUGUCAUGACGCAUACAAAAAAAAAACGCUUACGGUGUACAAUUUAUUCGUAAACAUAAUUAUCCUAUAAGUAUAAUUUCGAUAAAAAAUACUCAAUUAAAGUGUUUGUGUUAUUUGAUAAUAUUAUGAAAAUCAUAGGCUGAUUCACCUGGCAGCACUGAAUUUAGUUGCGUCAUCGAACUUGAACUCGCGUGCCUGUGUUUUCGUUUUAGCUUGGUCGUAAUUAAACUAUAAAAAUAUAACAGUAUUUCUGUUUAAUUAAAAGUAACUUUGAAGUGUAGUUAAUAUUUUGUGCUUUCUGUUUAUUAUCAAAACAAAAUUAUUAUUGGGUAUAUUAUAAAUAAUAAGACGCGUCAUUAUUUGUUACUUGUAAAUACAAUCCGUAGUUUGUAAACGAAAAUCGUAAUUUUAUAAUUGAGUUUGAGUGUAUUUCAAGUGUAGUAGUAGUAGUUCAUACUUAAAAACAAGCAAACUUUAUACCGACAAGGAAAGGAAGUAUGCUCUUGGUGCACAAUGGUUAUGCCUUCCGUUUAAAGAAUAAACUGGCUUAUGGAAAGAAGCAGUGGUACUGUACCUCUCGCACUAAAACAGGAUGCCAAGUCGAUGUGACUACUGUUUUCCAUCAGCUGAAAACUGUUGUGAACAGGGUAAGAAAUAAACACAAUCAUCCACCGCCUGGAUUUUACAGACGCAAUGAUGGAUCAUUUAAAAUUGUUUAAUUUUUGGACAGUAUUUUCUACAAUUAAUGGUACUUACUAUAAGACAUUAAUUUCAUCGAAAC
rnacentral:misc_RNA from 1 species